rnacentral:rRNA from 1 species
CAUUCCUUCUGUAAGCCUAGCUUUUUUCACAUACACCCCUGUAACCAAGUCUUAUGGAAUGUGCUCUGCGUUCAACCCACUACAGUACAACUUUCAACAACGGAUCUCUUGGCUCUCACAUCAAUGAAUAACGCAACGAACUGCCAUAAGUAAUGUGAAUUGCACAAUUCAGUGAAUCAUCGAAUCUUUGAACGCACCUUGCGCCCCUUGGCUAUUCCAAAGGGCAUGCCUGUUUGAGUACCGUGAACACCUCAACUCUCAUGGCUUGCCAUGAUGAACUUGGACUUUGGGGGUUUUUCCCGCCUUGGGGUAGGACCCUCCCAAAUAGAUCAAAUUGCCCGUGAUUGGUCGACAUUGCAGGUGUGAUAACUAUCCACCCAUGCGGCUGUUUGCCACGAAACCUUCCGCAAUGGGGGUUCCCCGGAACUUACAAAUGUACUUUCCCAACGAGGACAGCUUUGUACGUUCGAUCUCCAAUCACGUAGGACUACCCGCUGAACUUAACC